UACAGAGGUCUCAAGCGUUGUUCGGAUUCAUUGGGCGUAAAGGGUGCGUAGGUGGCGCUGUAAGUCAGGUGUGAAAUUUCGGAGCUUAACUCCGAAACUGCAUUUGAUACUGCGGUGCUUGAGGACUGGAGAGGAGACUGGAAUUUACGGUGUAGCAGUGAAAUGCGUAGAUAUCGUAAGGAAGACCAGUGGCGAAGGCGGGUCUCUGGACAGUUCCUGACACUUAGGCACGAAGGCCAGGGGAGCAAACGGG
rnacentral:rRNA from 1 species